UGGGGAAUUUUGCACAAUGGGGGAAACCCUGAUGCAGCGACGCCGCGUGAUUUAGAAGGCCUUCGGGUUGUAAAAAUCUUUUCUAUGGGAAGAAAAUGACAGUACCAUAGGAAUAAGGACUGGCUAAUUACGUGCCAGCAGCCGCGGUAAUACGUAAGGUCCGAGCGUUGUCCGGAAUCAUUGGGCGUAAAGGGUACGUAGGCGGUCUAUUAAGUCAGGUGUGAAAGCGUGAGGCUUAACCUCAUUAAGCACUUGAAACUGAUAGACUUGAGUGAAGGAGAGGAAAGUGGAAUUCCUAGUGUAGCGGUGAAAUGCGUAGAUAUUAGGAGGAAUACCGGUGGCGAAGGCGACUUUCUGGACUUUUACUGACGCUCAGGUACGAAAGCGUGGGGAGCAAACAGG
rnacentral:rRNA from 1 species